rnacentral:lncRNA from 1 species
GGAGAAAUCAAGGUUACAUAGCUCUUGAUAGAAAAAUGUUUCUUUAUUGGUCAAUUUUAUCGAAAGCUAUUUUGUGUCAAUCGACGGAAAAUGUUACUUACCCAAAACAGGUGAGGAGAAGAUGUUUGCAUCACAUUGAAUCAAUUUCUACAUAUCAACAUUCACGGGAAAACGUCACUUAAGCGUUAUUUUACAUUGUAUCGAUAUGAAAUAUCUUUCGUUU